rnacentral:rRNA from 1 species
UGAACGCUGGCGGCGUGCCUAAUACAUGCAAGUCGAGCGAACAGAUGAGGAGCUUGCUCCUCUGACGUUAGCGGCGGACGGGUGAGUAACACGUGGAUAACCUACCUAUAAGACUGGGAUAACUUCGGGAAACCGGAGCUAAUACCGGAUAAUAUAUUGAACCGCAUGGUUCAAUAGUGAAAGACGGUUUUGCUGUCACUUAUAGAUGGAUCCGCGCCGCAUUAGCUAGUUGGUAAGGUAACGGCUUACCAAGGCAACGAUGCGUAGCCGACCUGAGAGGGUGAUCGGCCACACUGGAACUGAGACACGGUCCAGACUCCUACGGGAGGCAGCAGUAGGGAAUCUUCCGCAAUGGGCGAAAGCUUGACGGAGCAACGCCGCGUGAGUGAUGAAGGUCUUCGGAUCGUAAAACUCUGUUAUUAGGGAAGAACAAAUGUGUAAGUAACUAUGCACGUCUUGACGGUACCUAAUCAGAAAGCCACGGCUAACUACGUG